rnacentral:lncRNA from 1 species
UGGGAGUUUGAGACCAGCCUGGCCAACAUGGAGAAACCCCGUCUGUACUAAAAAUACAAAAAACAAACAAACAAACAAAAAAAUUUAGCCGGGCAUGGUGGUGCGUGCCUGUAAUUCCAGUUACUCAGGAGGCUGAAGCAGGAGAAUUGCUUGAACCCGGGAGGCGGAAGUUGCAGUGAGCUGAGAUUGCACCAUUGCACUCCAGCCUUGGCGGCAAGAGCAAAACUCCAUCUCAAAAAAAAAAGAAAAAGAGAAAAAAGAUAUAGAAGGAACAAAUGACUACUUGGUUACCAACUAUUUUAGUUGUAUUUUGUAUAGUACUAUAUUAUAAAUCUAUGUUCACAUCUAACACAGGCAUGAGUGGAAGGCAGGCAUACAACAUCCUCUUAAACACUUCUAUUAAUGGAGUAUUCAGCACAUCACAAAGUAGCUUUAUGGAUAGCUUGGCUUCUGAAUUUUUUUAAACUAUUAAGUAACAUUAAUAAUUUCCUUUAUUCUAUGUGCACAGAACACCGGCAAUAAAGAUUUCAUUCAUUUACUCAAAAAUAUUUACUGGUUGCCUUUUUGGGGACAGGUACUUUAUGACUUUAUGACAUAGUUACAAUGGUAAAGUAACAAAAUUUCAUUUCAUACCAUCAAGUGUUUAAAAUUAAAAUAAGUAUUUUAGAUGUAGAUAAAUAUGUUUUUCUAAAAAUCACCAAACAGGAUAUAAGUAAUUUAUUUGAUCAUGGCAUUUUAUCACAUACUAUAACAAGAUCUAUUUAUCACAUACUAUAACAAGAUCUAUUCCCAGUAUCUAGAAAGCAAGCCAACGGGCCGGGCGCAGUGGCUCACCUGGAAAAUGUUUAAAAUUUAUUAAGUGAAAAGUAACUCAUGCUGCAAUGAACGUACUAUGUAAAAAUGUAUGUAUGUGGAACAGGGAAAAAUAUAAACAGUCACAGAAAUGUGUUUAGGUUGGUAGCAUUCUUUUUCCUCUUAAAAAUUCCUUUUUUUGGCCGGGCGCUGUGGCUCACACCUGUAAUCCCAGCACUUUGGGAAGCCGCGGUGGACAGAUCACAAGGUCAGGAGAUCAAGACCAUCCUGGCUAACAUGGUGAAACCCCGUCUCUACUAAAAAUACAAAAAAUUAGCUGGGCAUGGAGGCACUCGCCUGUAGUCGCAGCUACUCGGGAGGCUGAGGCAGGAGAAUCGCUUGAACUGGGGAGAUGGAGGUUGUAGUGAGCCCAGAUCAUGCCACUGCACUCAAGCCUGGGCUGAGACCUCCAGAGUCUGGCUGAGACCUAUGGAGUCUCACUCUGUCACCUAGGCUGGAGUACAGUGGUGCGAUCUCGGCACACUGCAACCUCCACCUCCCAGACAUUCUCCUGCCUCAGCCUCUCAACUAGCUGGGAUUACAUUCGCCCGCCUCCACACCCACUAAUUUUUGUAUUUUUAGUAGAGAUGCGGUUUCCCCAUGUUGGCCAGGCUGUUCUUGAACUCCUGACCUCAAGUUAUACGCCCACUUUGGACUCCCAAAGUGCUGGGAUUACAGGUGUGAGCCACGGCACCAGCCAAAAAUUUCUUUAAAUAUUAGUGGUAUAUUAUUCUCUCAAUAAGUUUUUUUUUUUUUUUUUUUUGAGACAGUCUUGUUUUAUUGCCUAAGCUGGAGUGCAGUGGCACAAUCUCAACUCACUGCAACCUCCACCUCCCAGGUUUAUUUUUUUUCUCAUGCCUCAGCCUCCCAAGAAGCUGGGAUUACAGGCAUGUGCCCCAAAGGCCAGUUAAGUUUUCUUUUUCUUUUUUUCUUUUUUCUUGGUUGAGACGGAUUUUCGCUCGUCACCCACACUGGAGUGCAAUGGCGCGAUCUCGGCUCACUGCAACCUCCGACUCUUGGGUUCAAGCGAUUCUCCUGCCUCAGCCUCCCGAGUAGCUGGGAUUAGAGGCACCUGUCACCACGCCCGCUACUUUUGGUAUUUUUAGUAGAGAUGGAGUUUCACCACGUUGGCCAGGCUGAUCUCAAACUCCUGGCCUCAAGUGAUUCACCUGCCUUGGCCUCCCAAAGUGCUGGAAUUACAGGCCCGGCCUAUUUUUGCAAUAAUUAUGAAUAGCACACCAUUUAAACCUGUUGAUUGAGCCCUCCUUAAAUAACUAAAUACACUACUGGCCAACAUGGUGAAAACCUGUCUCCACUAAAAACACAAAAAAAUGGCCGGGCACAGUGGCUCAUGCCUGUAAUCCCAGCACUUCAGGAGGCCAAGGGGUGUGAAUCACCUGAGGUUAGGAGUUCAAGACCAGCCUGGCCAACAUGGUGAAACCCUGUCUCUACUAAAAAAAAAUACAAAAAUUAGCUGAGUGUAGUGGCACAUACCCGUAGUCUCAGCUACUCAGGAGGCUGAGGCAGGAGAAUUGCUUGAACCUGGGAGGCAGGGGUUGCAGUGAGCCAAGAUCGUGCCACCACACUCCAGCCUGGGUGACACAGCGAGACUCCAUCUCAAAAUAAAUAAAUAAAUAAAAAGAAAGGGACCGAGCGCGGUGGCUCAUGCUUGUAAUCCCAGCACUCUGGGAGGCUGAGUUGGGCAGAUCACAAGGUCAAGAGUUCAGGACCAGCCUGACCAACACGGUAAAACCCCAUCUCUACUAAAAAUACAAAAAUGAGCUGGGUGUGAUGGCACGCGCCUGUAACCCCAGUUACUCAAAAGGCUGAGGCAAGAGAAUCGCUUGAACCUGGGAGGCAGAGGUUGCAGUGAGCCGAGAUCACGCCACUGCAUUCCAGCCUGGUGACAGUGAGACUCUGUCACACACACACAAAAAAGAUAAAGAAUGACAAAAAUCUGUGCCUACAUUCAGAGUGACAAGAAUACUAAUGUUCUGCUUGUAGAAAAGACUAUUGGUUCAGAAUAUGUUAAAUGCAAAUAAUAUUUUGUAUAAUAUAUAUAAAUUACAUAUGCAUAAAAAGAGUAUCUAUAUUAGAAUCUUUUGAGACAGGGUCUUGCUCUGUCAACCAUGAGGGAGUGCAGUGGCACUACCACAGCUCACUGUAGCCUUGACUUCCUGAGCUCAAGCCAUCCUCUCGCCUCAGCCUCCUGAAUAGUUGGGACUGCAGGUGGUGCCACCAAGGCUGGCUAAGUUUUUAUAUUUUUUUAUAGAAACAAGCUUUUGCCACGUUGCCCAGGCUGGUCUCAAACUUCUAAAAGCUCAAGCAAUCUGGCCGCCUUGAACUCCCAAAGUGCUUGAGUUAUAGGCAUGAGUCACUGUGCCCGGCCUACAUUAGAAUCUUAACAGUGGGGCUGGGCAUGGUGCCCCAUGCCUGUAAUCCCAGCACUUUGGGAGGUCAAGGUGGGCAGACUACUUGAGGUUGAGGAGUUCGAGGCCAGCCUGGCCAACAUGGUGAAACCCCAUCUGUACUAAAAACACAAAAAUUAGCCAGGUGUGGUGGCACAUGUUUGCAAUCCCAGCUACUUGGGAGGCUGAGGCGGGAGGAUCACUUGAACCUGGGAAGCAGAGGUUGCAGUGAGCCGAGAUGGUGCCAUGGCACUCCAGCCUGGGCAAUAGACAGCGGGACUCAGUCUCAAAACAAAAAAAAAAAAAAAAAAAAAAGAAUCUUAACAGUGGUUAACUUCAAAUAGUGAAACUAUGACUGUUAACUGAGUUUGACAUUUUUGUGUUUUCCUAGAUUUUUCUACAAUAAACAUUAUUAUUUCAUAAUAAAGCAGUAAAGACUUUUUAUACAAACUAUUUUAAGAUAAACAAAUUUUGACAUAGGGGUUAUAAGUUAGGUAGAAUCUAUUUAUAUAAAAAAUGGAACUGUACUUUUGUGGGCCAAAUAAGCACUAUGUAAGUUUUUUUAAUUUUCCCAAACACAUGCACAGAAUUAAUAUUGCCUUAAAUUUUGUUAGCACAAGUUUGAGAGAGCUCUUUAGUUCAUAAAAAAAUGUUUUAUGGACCAGGUGCCGUGGCUCACACCUGCAAUCUCAACACUUUGGGAGGCCCAGGUGGGAGGAUCGCUUGAGCCUAGGAGUUUGAGACAAGACUGGGCGACGCAGGGAGACCCUGUCUCAAAAAAACAAAACCAAAAACAAGCAAACAAAAAAACAGCUGGGCAUGGUGGCAUGCAUAUGUAGUCCCAGCUAUUCUAGAGGCUGAGGUGAGAUCGCUGGAGCCCAGGAGGUGGAGGCUACAGUAAGCUGUGAUCAUGCCAAUGCACUCCAGCUUGGUCAACAAAGCAAGACUGUGCCUCAAAAAAAAAAAAGAAAAGAAAAGAAAGAAAGAAAAGAAAAAGAAAAAAAGUUAUGUACGUAUGGUUUUUUUUUUUUUUUGGAUAGAGUUUCACUCUUCUUGCCCAGGCUGGAGUGCAAUGGUGCAAUCUUGGCUCACCACAACCUUCCCCUACUGGGUUCAAGCGAUUCUCCUGUUUCAGCCUCCCCAGUAGCUGGGAUUAAAGGCAUGUGCCACCACGCCCGGCUAAUUUUGUAUUUUUAGUAGAGAUGAAGUUUCUCCAUGUUGGUCAGGCUGGUCUUGAACUCCUGACUUCAGGUGAUCUGCCCGCCUCAGCCUCCCAAAGUGCUGGGAUUACAGGUGUGAGCCACCUCGCCUGGCCGUUUUUUUUUUUUUUUUUUUUUUCUGAGACGGAGUUUUGCUCUUAUUGCCCAGGCUGGAGUGCAAUGGCACGAUCUCGGCUCAUCGCAACCUCUGCCUCACGGGUUCAAGCAAUUUUCCUGCCUCAGCGUCUCAAGUAGCUAGGAUUACAGGGAUGCUCCAUCAUGCCCGGCUAAUUUUGUAUUUUUGGUAGAGACAGGGUUUCUCCAUGUUGGUCAGGCUGGUCUCAAACUCCCAACCUCAGGUGAUUUACCCGCCUUGGCCUCCCAAAGAGCUGGGAUUACAGGUGUGAGCCACUGUGCCCGGCCAUGCUUAUGUUUUUUAACAAUACACUUCUGAACUAUCAAAAAGAAUAUAAAUCAAAAUCACUGAAGUAGUUUUUAAAAACUCCAAAAGCUACAAAACUUACUUACUUCAAUAUCAAUUAAAAACCCAUUUGAUAGUUCAAUAACUUGAGUCCUGCUAGAAUCAUUCUAUAAGCCAUCAGUGACAGUGAAGUGGCCAAAAUUUGAGUCACUUGAUAAGUACAAAGAACACAGAUUUUU